UUGAACGCUGGCGGCAUGCUUUACACAUGCAAGUCGGACGGCAGCACAGAGAAGCUUGCUUCUUGGGUGGCGAGUGGCGAACGGGUGAGUAACAUAUCGGAACGUACCGAGUAGUGGGGGAUAACUGAUCGAAAGAUCAGCUAAUACCGCAUACGUCUUGAGAGGGAAAGCAGGGGACCUUCGGGCCUUGCGCUAUUCGAGCGGCCGAUAUCUGAUUAGCUAGUUGGUGGGGUAAAGGCCUACCAAGGCGACGAUCAGUAGCGGGUCUGAGAGGAUGAUCCGCCACACUGGGACUGAGACACGGCCCAGACUCCUACGGGAGGCAGCAGUGGGGAAUUUUGGACAAUGGGCGCAAGCCUGAUCCAGCCAUGCCGCGUGUCUGAAGAAGGCCUUCGGGUUGUAAAGGACUUUUGUCAGGGAAGAAAAGGCUGUUGCUAAUAUCAGCGGCUGAUGACGGUACCUGAAGAAUAAGCACCGGCUAACUACGUGCCAGCAGCCGCGGUAAUACGUAGGGUGCGAGCGUUAAUCGGAAUUACUGGGCGUAAAGCGGGCGCAGACGGUUACUUAAGCAGGAUGUGAAAUCCCCGGGCUCAACCCGGGAACUGCGUUCUGAACUGGGUGACUCGAGUGUGUCAGAGGGAGGUAGAAUUCCACGUGUAGCAGUGAAAUGCGUAGAGAUGUGGAGGAAUACCGAUGGCGAAGGCAGCCUCCUGGGACAACACUGACGUUCAUGCCCGAAAGCGUGGGUAGCAAACAGGAUUAGAUACCCUGGUAGUCCACGCCCUAAACGAUGUCAAUUAGCUGUUGGGCAACUUGAUUGCUUAGUAGCGUAGCUAACGCGUGAAAUUGACCGCCUGGGGAGUACGGUCGCAAGAUUAAAACUCAAAGGAAUUGACGGGGACCCGCACAAGCGGUGGAUGAUGUGGAUUAAUUCGAUGCAACGCGAAGAACCUUACCUGGUCUUGACAUGUACGGAAUCCUCCAGAGACGGAGGAGUGCCUUCGGGAGCCGUAACACAGGUGCUGCAUGGCUGUCGUCAGCUCGUGUCGUGAGAUGUUGGGUUAAAGUCCCGCAACGAGCGCAACCCUUGUCAUUAGUUGCCAUCAUUCANUUGGGCACUCUAAUGAGACUGCCGGUGACAAGCCGGAGGAAGGUGGGGAUGACGUCAAGUCCUCAUGGCCCUUAUGACCAGGGCUUCACACGUCAUACAAUGGUCGGUACAGAGGGUAGCCAAGCCGCGAGGCGGAGCCAAUCUCACAAAACCGAUCGUAGUCCGGAUUGCACUCUGCAACUCGAGUGCAUGAAGUCGGAAUCGCUAGUAAUCGCAGGUCAGCAUACUGCGGUGAAUACGUUCCCGGGUCUUGUACACACCGCCCGUCACACCAUGGGAGUGGGGGAUACCAGAAGUAGGUAGGGUAACCGCAAGGAGUCCGCUUACCACGGUAUGCUUAUGACUGGGGUGAAGUCGUAA
rnacentral:rRNA from 1 species